AUUGAACGCUGGCGGCAGGCUUAACACAUGCAAGUCGAACGAGGUCUUCGGACCUAGUGGCGGACGGGUGAGUAACACGUGGGAACGUGCCCAUUGGUCCGGAAUAAAUCAGGGAAACUUGAGCUAAUACUGUAUGUGCCCUUCGGGGGAAAGAUUUAUCGCCAUUGGAGCGGCCCGCGUCUGAUUAGCUAGUUGGUGAGGUAAAGGCUCACCAAGGCGACGAUCAGUAGCUGGUCUGAGAGGAUGACCAGCCACAUGGGGACUGAGACACGGCCCAAACUCCUACGGGAGGCAGCAGUGGGGAAUCUUGCGUAAUGGGCGAAAGCCUGACGCAGCCAUGCCGCGUGGAUGAUGAAGGUCUUAGGAUUGUAAAAUCCUUUCACCGGUGAAGAUAAUGACUGUAGCCGGAGAAGGAGCCCCAGCUAACUUCGUGCCAGCCGCCGCCGUAAAAC
rnacentral:rRNA from 1 species